GAAAGCGCUGAGAGCCUGUACGCCUGCUUAAUCCUCCUGAGCCCAGGAAGUGCCAUGAAUCAAACAUGUCAGGCCUGGAUCAGGCCCAGGAGGCUCACAGUUGUUAUCGGAGUCACGCUCCACUGUGCCCAUUGCUAGUGAAAGGAUGAGCUUGAAAACUUGGUCCAGAGAGCGGGAGGGAAGGCCUGCAGGGACAGCUCAGGAUUACCCAGAGGACACAAAAACAAUCAUUAAAACAAUUUCCAUGGGAAGAUUACAAUUCCUGGAUUUAGUAACUGAAUUUCAGCCUCUGCCUCUAAUGGAUCUGAGCAGGCUGUUCAAGUUCCAAGACAUUCUGUUGCUCCUGAGAGCCUCAGAAAGCACAUCCCAGAAGGUUUGUUUCCUUUUGGUCUUUGACCACUGUCAAACAGACAAGAUUAAUGUUAGCAAGAGUUGCAAGGCAAUCUUCCUUAUCUCUGAUUUUAUGAAUUUGGACCUGCCUGUGUGUCCAUCAGGCUCCUGAAGACUCAAACAAGACCCUGGCACAAAGUAGCAGACACAACUUGUAAUAUAUAUGUGUGUAUAUAUAUAUAUAUAUAUGUGUGUGUGUGUGUGUGUGCAAAUUUAUGUAAUUAAUUAAAGGUUAUCUUUAUGCCCAUA